UACGUAGGGUGCGAGCGUUGUCCGGAAUUAUUGGGCGUAAAGGGCUCGUAGGCGGUCUGUCGCGUCGAAAGUGAAAACUCAGGGCUUAACCCUGAGCCUGCUUCCGAUACGGGCAGACUAGAGGUAUGCAGGGGAGAGCGGAACUCCUGGUGUAGCGGUGGAAUGCGCAGAUAUCAGGAGGAACACCGAUGGCGAAGGCAGGUCUCUGGGCCGAUACUGACGCUGAGGAGCGAAAGCGUGGGGAGCGAACAGG
rnacentral:rRNA from 1 species